rnacentral:rRNA from 1 species
GAGGAAAAGAAACCAACAGGGAUUGCCUUAGUAACGGCGAGUGAAGCGGCAAAAGCUCAAAUUUGAAAUCUAGCACUUUCAGUGUUCGAGUUGUAAUUUGAAGAAGGUAACUUUGGAAUUGGCUCUUGUCUAUGUUCCUUGGAACAGGACGUCACAGAGGGUGAGAAUCCCGUGCGAUGAGAUGUCCAAUUCUAUGUAAAGUGCUUUCGAAGAGUCGAGUUGUUUGGGAAUGCAGCUCUAAGUGGGUGGUAAAUUCCAUCUAAAGCUAAAUAUUGGCGAGAGACCGAUAGCGAACAAGUACAGUGAUGGAAAGAUGAAAAGAACUUUGAAAAGAGAGUGAAAAAGUACGUGAAAUUGUUGAAAGGGAAGGGCUUGAGAUCAGACUUGGUAUUUUGUGUUCCUUAUCCUUCUUGGAUUAGGUUCCUCACAGCUUACCGGGCCAGCAUCGGUUUGGAUGGCAGGAUAAUGACAUUGGAAUGUAGCUUUGCUUCGGUGAAGUGUUAUAGACUUUGUUGAUACUGCCUAUCUAGACCGAGGACUGCGUCUUUGACUAGGAUGCUGGCGUAAUGAUCUUAAGCCGCCC